AGAGUUUGAUCCUGGCUCAGAUUGAACGCUGGCGGCAGGCCUAACACAUGCAAGUCGAGCGGCAGCGGGAAAGUAGCUUGCUACUUUUGCCGGCGAGCGGCGGACGGGUGAGUAAUGCCUGGGAAAUUGCCCAGUCGAGGGGGAUAACAGUUGGAAACGACUGCUAAUACCGCAUACGCCCUACGGGGGAAAGCAGGGGACCUUCGGGCCUUGCGCGAUUGGAUAUGCCCAGGUGGGAUUAGCUUGUUGGUGAGGUAAUGGCUCACCAAGGCGACGAUCCCUAGCUGGUCUGAGGGGAUGAUCAGCCACACUGGAACUGAGACACGGUCCAGACUCCUACGGGAGGCAGCAGUGGGGAAUAUUGCACAAUGGGGGAAACCCUGAUGCAGCCAUGCCGCGUGUGUGAAGAAGGCCUUCGGGUUGUAAAGCACUUUCAGCGAGGAGGAAAGGUUGGUGCCUAAUACCUACCAAUUGUGACGUUACUCGCAGAAGAAGCACCGGCUAACUCCGUGCCAGCAGCCGCGGUAAUACGGAGGGUGCAAGCGUUAAUCGGAAUUACUGGGCGUAAAGCGCACGCAGGCGGUUGGAUAAGUUAGAUGUGAAAGCCCCGGGCUCAACCUGGGAAUUGCAUUUAAAACUGUCCAGCUAGAGUCUUGUAGAGGGGGGUAGAAUUCCAGGUGUAGCGGUGAAAUGCGUAGAGAUCUGGAGGAAUACCGGUGGCGAAGGCGGCCCCCUGGACAAAGACUGACGCUCAG
rnacentral:rRNA from 1 species